rnacentral:rRNA from 1 species
AUUGAACGCUGGCGGCAGGCCUAACACAUGCAAGUCGAACGAGUGGCGGACGGGUGAGUAAUGUAUGGGAAACUGCACGAUGGAGGGGGAUAACUACUGGAAACGGUAGCUAAUACCGCAUACCAUCGGAUGUGCCCAGAUGGGAUUAGCUAGGAGGGGGGGUAACGGCUCACCUUGGCGACGAUCCCUAGCUGGCCUGAGAGGAUGACCCGCCACACUGGAACUGAGACACGGUCCAGACUCCUACGGGAGGCAGCAGUGGGGACUAGUGCACAAUGGGCGCAAGCCUGAUGCAGCCAGGCGGCGUGUAUGAAGAAGGCCGUCGGGUUGGAAAGUACUUUCAGCGAGGAGGCGUUACUCGCAGAAGAAGCACCGGCUAACUCCGUGCCAGCAGCCGCGGUAAUAG